AUAGGAAUCUAAGAGCACAGGGUGGAUGCCUUGGCUGUAGCAAGCGAUGAAGGACGUGGACAAUCUGCGAUAAGUUUCGGCGAGACGAUAAUCAGUCUUUGACCCGGAAAUUUCCGAAUGGGGAAACCUCUCUAGAUNNGUCUAGAGACCUAGGACAUAGAAGCCUAGGAGCGAACGGGGGGAAGUGAAACAUCUCAGUACCCCUAGGAAUAGAGAACAAUAGUUAUUUCCUAAGUAGCGGCGAGCGAAACGGAAACAGCCCAAACCAGAGUAAUUACUUUUUGUUUUUAUUGUGGGGUUGUAGGGUACUAACGUCUUUACGAGAAGAGUUACAAAAUUGAUAUAUAGUCGAAUCCGAUUGAAAGCGGAAUCAUAGAGGGUGCAAAUCCCGUAGACGAAAUAUAUCAGUCUCUUUUGUUAGUAUUCCUGAGUACUCCGAGACAUGAAUAGCUCGGAGGAAUCUGCCAGUACUAACUGGUAAGGCUAAAUAUUNCUACAGACCGAUAGUGAACUAGUACCGUGAGGGAAAGGUGAAAAGAACCCCGGGAGGGGAGUGAAAUAGAUCUGAAACCCUGUGUUUACAAGGAGUAGNAGAGGUACUUGNNCCUCGACUGCGUGCCUAUUGAAGAAUGAGCCAACGAGUCUAUAUAUGCAGCAAGNUAAGGGGGUNAAGCUCNGGANCUACAGGGAAACCGAGUGUGAAUAGCGCGAAAUANAUGUUGUAUGUAUAGGACCCGAAACCAAGUGAUCUAUCCAUGUGCAGGGUGAACCUCCGCGAAAGCGGAGGGGAGGCCCGAACCGGGUGGUCGUNCAAUUCCAUCGGAUGACGUGUGGANAGNAGUGAAAAGCUAAUCGAACUUGGUAAUAGCUGGUUCUCUCCGAAAUAGCUUUAGGGUUAGCGUUACGUGUUCCCUCUGGGGGUAGAGCACUGAUUAGAUCUUGGAUAGCCUUAACGGGCGCCAGACUCGUCAAACUCCGAAUACCAGAGNUUAANAGCGUAGCAGUUAGACUACGGGGGCGAAGCUCCGUUGGUCAAAAGGGAAACAGCCCAGAUCUCAAAAUAAGGUCCCUAAAUAUAUACUCAGUGCACUUAAGGAGGUGAAAUUUCAUCGACAAUCAGGAGGUUGGCUUAGAAGCAGCCAUCCUUUAAAGAUAGCGUAACAGCUCACUGAUCUAGAGAUAUCGCGCCGCAAAUAAUCGGGGCUAAGUAUAUUACCGAAUUUGAGGACUGUACCUUAUGGUACAGUGGUAGGAGAGCGUUCCUCUCUGCGUUGAAGCCAAAGGCGUGAGCCAUGGUGGAGCGUGAGGAAGCGAGAAUGUUGGCACAAGUAACCGCAACACGGGUGAGAUCCCCGUGCGCCGAAAGAAUAAGGUUUCCGUGGCCAUGAUGAUCAUCCACGGGUUAGUCGGUCCUAAGCCAAUGGCGAACGCCGAAGGUGAUGGACAUAGGGUUAAUAUUCCCUAACUAUUAGGUGCUGCGAUGGAGUGACAUAGGAAAUAAGCAUNNGCGCAUUAUUGGAUUUGCGUUNNNGNCUGUAGACAGGUGGUUUAGGUAAAUCCGGACCACAUAUACUGGANANGNNGNNACAAUUGAAGCCUACGGGUGGAAAAAGNUNUGUGAAGAGCCUAUCGAGAAAAACUUCUAAGCUUAAGCAUGUGAUAACCGUACCGCAAACCGACACAGGUAUUCAGGUCGAGUAGACCAAGGCGAACGAGUGAGAGGUCCUUAAGGAACUCGGCAAAACAGCGACCGUAACUUCGGAAUAAGGUCCGCCCAUAUGUGAACAUAGUAUUGAACUAUCUUCACAGAUGACGUUUUGUUUGAUGUUUGUUAAACCAAUCAUAAUACUAAUUUAAAAAGCAACUGAAUAUAUUAAUUUAUAUUCAAAUCACUCCUGAGUGGAAAUUACAUAAUGUAAAUGUAUAUGUGAUUACUGCUCAGGAAAUUUUUAAUUUGAACAUGAAUUGAGACACACAAUCAUUAAUCAAAGCGUCACAUAUGUUGAAUAUUAUGUUCACAUAUGGGCCGCAGCGAAAGAUCCCUGGCAACUGUUUAUCAAAAACACAGCUCCCUGCGAACUCGUAAGAGGAUGUAUAGGGGGUGACGCCUGACCAAUGUCAGAAGGUUAAAUACGGACGGUGUAAAUAACUUUGUUAUUUAUGCUGGGCUGUAUAAGCCCUGAUCAAUGUCGGCCGUAACUAUAACGGUCCUAAGGUAGCGAAAUUCCUUGUCUGGUAAGUUCAGACGUGCACGAAUGGCGUAAUGACUGGGGAACUGUCUCAAGGACUUGCUCGGUGAAAAUGCAAUUCCGGUAAAGAUGCCGGAUACCUGCAGUUAGACGAAAAGACCCUAGGAGCUUUACUACAGCUUCAUAUUGGUUCUAUAGAUUCACUGCGUAGCAUAGGUGGGAGACUUUGAAGCGUUCCUUUUGGGGAACGUGGAGUCGUCAGUGAAAUACCACUCUUUGAUUUUAUAGAAUCUAACCCCUACGGUAAAAACGUAGAGAGACAGUGUGUGGUGGGUAGUUUGAGUGGGGCGCUUUCCUCCUAAAGAGUAACGGAGGAGCAUAUAAAGGUUCGUUAGGCGCGUAUGGAAAUCGUGCUGAUAGUGUAAUGGCAUAAACGAGCUUAACUGCGAGAGGUACAUCUCAAGCAGAUGCGAAAGCAGAUCAUAGUGAACCGACAGUGGCCUUUAGAUGGCGCUGGAGAUUAACGGAUAAAAGCUACCCUAGGGAUAACAGGCUAGUAUCGCCCAAGAGUUCAAAUCGACGGCGAUGUUCGGCACCUUAACUUUGUUCAGUUACAAGAGAAUUAGAACAACAUCGGGGUGCCUAGAAGAGCAAUCUUCUAAGAACUGAUACAUUCCUUCUUACAUCAGUAAGAAAACAAUCUUUUCAAUCAAUUUGGCUAUAUGCUGGAACUCCCGGCCUUAAUUAGCAUGCAUACCUAAACAGUAAUUCGAAAGUUUAUGCUGAAUGGUUUAAAAACUUGCAUGUGAGGGACAAUCAGCAGGAAAGACUUCUACGU
rnacentral:rRNA from 1 species